rnacentral:rRNA from 1 species
UACGUAGGGGGCAAGCGUUGUCCGGAUUUAUUGGGCGUAAAGAGCGUGUAGGCGGCCUGACAGGUCUGCUGUGAAAACUCGAGGCUCAACCUCGAGAUGUCGGCGGAAACCGUCUGGCUAGAGUGCGGUAGGGGAGAAUGGAAUUCCCGGUGUAGCGGUGAAAUGCGCAGAUAUCGGGAGGAACACCGGUGGCGAAGGCGGUUCUCUGGGCCUGACCUGACGCUGAGGAGCGAAAGCGUGGGGAGCGAACAGG